GUUUUAGUCUCAUUGGGGAUGAUACAGCGCACAAAAUGGGGAGAUAACAGAUACAGCACUAUACCCGGAAAAGAGCUGAGACAGUCUGGAAGGAAGAACCCUUCUUCUUGCCUCCCUUCUUGCCACCACCAGCCUCUUCAAAUUGAAUAAAGGGAAACAAAAAGGUUUUAAA